UACGUAGGGUGCGAGCGUUGUCCGGAUUUAUUGGGCGUAAAGCGCGUGUAGGCGGCUUGGCAAGUCGGGUGUGAAAUCCCUCAGCUUAACUGAGGAAGUGCGCCCGAAACUGCCGAGCUUGAGUACCGGAGAGGGUGGCGGAAUUCCCCCAAGUAGAGGUGAAAUUCGUAGAUAUGGGGAGGAACACCGGUGGCGAAGGCGGCCACCUGGACGGAUACUGACGCUGAGACGCGAAAGCGUGGGGAGCAAACAGG
rnacentral:rRNA from 1 species